rnacentral:rRNA from 1 species
GGACAAUGGGGGCAACCCUGAUCCAGCGACGCCGCGUGGGUGAUGAAGGCCUUCGGGUUGUAAAGCCCUUUCACCGGGGACGAUGAUGACGGUACUAUAUGAAUAAGCACCGGCUAACUCCGUGCCAGCAGCCGCGGUAAUACGGAGGGUGCAAGCGUUGUCCGGAUUUAUUGGGUUUAAAGGGUGCGUAGGCGGCCCGUUAAGUCAGCGGUGAAAUCCCACGGCUCAACCGUGGAACUGCCGUUGAUACUGGCGGGCUUGAGUUCGGUCGAGGCGGGCGGAACUGGUGGUGUAGCGGUGAAAUGCAUAGAUACCACCAAGAACCCCGAUUGCGUAGGCAGCUCGCUGGGCCGAAACUGACGCUGAGGCACGAAAGCGUGGGGAGCGAACAGGAUUAGAUACCCUGGUAGUCCACGCCGUAAACGAUGAUGACUCGAUGUCGGCGAUACACUGUCGGCGUCCAAGCGAAAGCGUUAAGUCAUCCACCGUGGGGAGUACCGCCCGCAAGGGUG